AGUUCCUUGUACAUAAGAACAAGUAUACUUUUUGUUGAAAACCAAUCUUUCAUAAUAUCACUCUUUUUUGCAUACAAGCUCACUUUUUUCUUUUUACACUCAUUUGAAUUCUGCUCCUCUUUUGUCAAACUCACUUUCUUUUUCACUUCAUUAUUUUUUUCACUUUUUCUUUUGAAAGCUCACUCUUGAAUGUCUCACAUUUGCUCACUCUUUUUCCUUC
rnacentral:lncRNA from 1 species